CCUACGGGUGGCAGCAGUGAGGAAUAUUGGUCAAUGGACGCAAGUCUGAACCAGCCAUGCCGCGUGCAGGAUGACGGCUCUAUGAGUUGUAAACUGCUUUUGUACGAGGAUAAUAUCAGAUACGUGUAUCUGCUUGAAAGUAUCGUACGAAUAAGGACCGGCUAACUCCGUGCCAGCAGCCGCGGUAAUACGGAGGAUCCAAGCGUUAUCCGGAUUUAUUGGGUUUAAAGGGUGCGUAGGCGGGCGUUUAAGCCGGCGGUCAAAUGUCGGGGCUCAACCCCGGCCUGCCGUCGGAACUGGGUGCCUUGAGUGCGCGGAAAGUAUGCGGAAUUCGUGGUGUAGCGGUGAAAUGCAUAGAUAUCACGAAGAACCCCGAUUGCGAAGGCAGCAUACGGGAGCGCUACUGACGCUGAGGCACGAAGGUGCGGGUAUCGAACAGGAUUAGAUACCCGAGUAGUC
rnacentral:rRNA from 1 species